GACAGAAACCUACGCUUUGGCAGCUGCCUACAAUGAUGGGUUACCAAGGUCAAUCCAAGGGCUAUCACAAAUGUAGAAAAGCUGACUUCCUACGAGAAGAAAACAAAACAGAAGGAAGGAAAAAGAGAGAGAAAGAGAGAAAGAGAAAGACAGAAAGAGAGAGAGAGAGAAAGCAAGAGAGAAAGAGAGAGAGAGAGAAAGCGAGAGAGGCAGAAAGAAAAAAGAAAGAAAGAAAGAGAGAGAGGGAGAGAGAGAGGGAGAAAGAAAGAAAAAAGAAAGAGAGAGAGAGGGAAAGAAAGAAAGAAAGAAAGAAAAAGAAAGAAAGAAAGAAAGAAAGAAAGAAAGAAAGAAAGAAAAAGAGAAAGAAAGAAAAAGUAAGCAUGUAUUGUUUUAGAACUCUGUCUUGGCUUGUCGCAGGAAUAUUUCUGUGCAAUAAAGUUGUAACAUUAGUUACUUCAACAACAAGCCUCCCACCCACACAGCCCUGCCAUUCAAAUGUUUUGCUCGUUUUUCUUGUUCCUUUAUUAUGAUCCGUUUCUUAGUCAAGUCUCAGUUUGACUAAACCAUUGCCAUAGGCUACCGGUUGGUCAACCUUCAUCCCAUUUAACACAGCAAUGAAAUGACCCUGAACACUCCUGUUGCUUCCACUACUCUCACAGGCUCAACCAGCUAAUCUAGUUAAUCAGCUGUGUCUGAAAUUGUGGGGCCCUUUAGGAUCUCAAAUUCUUUUUCUUUAGUCCUUCCUUUUAUAACGAAAGUAAUACUUGCGAUACGUUCUUAACUUAGCCUCCAAUCCAUUCAGACACAGAUUAAAAAAUAUGGGGUUUUUUUCUUCUUCACAUUUACAUUUGGAGGAGGCACAUUCCAGUAACUUGUAAGGAAAUGCAAAACCAGAACUGUAAAUAAAAAUAAAAAUAAUGAUAACUGACACUAACAUGUUGCUUACCAUAUGCCAAAACUCAGUUCUGAGAAUCUUGCCCAGAUCGACUCAUCUAAUCCUCAUCACAAUUCGGUGAGGUGGGUGCUAUAAUUUACCCCCAUUUUAUAGACCAGAACCUUAAAGCAACAGAAGAGUUCAUUGUUUUGCCCAAGGUCACACAGCAGGUAAGUGGCAUAGUCAGAACUGAAAUCCGGGCAACUUGAUUCCAGAUCUCCACUCUUAACUCCUAUUGCUCCACUGAAAGUAACACAGGAGCAUUGCUUAGGAAGGUUCUAUUGCAGUUGGCACAUUUGUAAAAUCUGAUCCAGGUGAAAACUCUAAAGACGAAAGAGUUAUGGAAAAAAUGGCAAAUGGAGUUGAGGAGUGAUUUCCCAAAAUCCAUCAUUAAAUUCUGAGAACCUGAGUCCUGGUAUCAAAUUUUCUACAUCUAAAGCUUCAUAUGACCAAAUACAUUUCCUCUCCAAGAAGCAUCAGGCCCCAGUUCCUCAUCCAUGUAAUGAAAUAACACUACCGUGCCUUGCAGGGUUGUUGUGAGGAUUAAGAAAGUGUAUGCAAAGCCCCGGCAGAGAGGCUGGGAUAUGGGAGAUGAUCAAUAAGUGGUAACUACUAUUUAUAACCAUCGUUGGAUUUUUUCCCGGCCUUCCUCACUAUCAGAUCUAUCUUGCACUCAGGUGUCUACUCCCACUUCAGACAGCAAAUAAGUGUUCCCACUCACCCAUCAGAACAAACCACAAUGCUAUGAACUGAUGUUUUGAACAGAACUCCAAUUGGGAAAUAGCAAAUACAUCAGCUAGUACUCCCCGGACUUAAUAAUCAGCUUUCAAAGGAAGCACUUACAUGUGAUGGUGAAAGUUGUUUUAGGAAGAUCUGUGAGAGCAGAUACAAAGAUGGAAACGUGGAUAGGCACGUUGACUGAAAGAAGAAAGUUACAGCGGGUAGUUCUAAUUAGGUAAGGCACCUCCAAAUGCAUUAUGAUUCGGCAACCUAACUCCGUGUGUUUGGGGAACCAAUCAGAGCAUAUUUCUCCUGUGUAUUCCUCUCAGACUGAUCCUCUCUGUUUCUCUGCCCCUUCAGAGAAGGCGAGCAGGCAGUCAAAACAUGUAAAGGAGUGUUGGUUCUCAGAUUUGCAUAGAAAAAGUCACAAGCUAGGCUAACUGAACGUGUUUCCAAGUGUUUGUCCUACUGCUCUGGCCACGGAUUCCCCAUCCUGCUUCUGAAAUGGAGGUGGAGUCCUGCUUUCAGUGGUAACAGAGGUCACUGGGUUCCAGGAGCAAUCCAAGAGGAUGUUGCUCAUAUCAUGAUCUGGAAAACGUAAAGUUAAUUACAGUGCAAUUGGUGAAGGGUUACACCUAACUUAAUUCUUACAUCCUGAUUUCUGUCUACUGCUACCAUUUCCCACACUGAGAGAGAGGAAAGUUUCACUUAAGUAGUUGUGACCAACAUAGAUUUAAUGGGCAGGGCACACACAUGUGUGUUUUUGUCUUUAUUUGCGUAUUUGUGUGUCUGAAUUUGUAAGUAUCUAUAUAUGCAUGUGUCCAAAUAUAUGCAUGUACAUCUGUGCAUGUCUGCGUGUGUCUGAGGGUGUGUCUGUCCAUAUGCAUAUGUCUGUGCAUUUCUGUGUAUCUCUUUGUAAGUUGUGUCUGUAUGUCUUUGUGUAUGUCUGCACAAUGUGGCUCUGUAUGUGUCUGUUUGUGUGCUCUGUAUGCUUGUGCAUCUGUGUGUGUGUGUCUGUAUGUGCAUGCAUAUCUAUGGCAGCAUGCGCAGGAGUUAUGCAGAAAUAAACACAAAUGCAUUCUAGAGCACAAGGUUUCUGUUUGAGGGAUAAGCCUGUAGUACACAUGUGAACUCUGUAUAGACACAAAUGUGGCCUGAGAAAUGUAGGAAAAAAGGAGAAUGAAGAACGGAUGAGCCAUAACUGAGACAGCCAAGGACCCGUUCUUGAUGCUUUUGUGUCUAUGCGUGAUCCCUGCUACUCCCAGCCACACCGAACAAACCACUUUCUUGCACACUUUUGAAAUGAUAUAGGAGAACAUGUCACUGGGGCUUCAGGAGUUCCCACCUCAGAAAGGCAAUAUUCAAGGAGGAUGGGAGUAAAGCUUUCUCUCUCUCUCCUAUAAUGCAUAAUAUAUCAUGGCCCCCAAGCCCAAGAAAUGAACGGUAAUCAUUAAUUUACUAUGUGAUUUCUCUGGCUUUUUUUCUAAAGUUGGCAUUACUUUCUUAAUCAAGCAAGCAUUUUCUAAUGUAAACGAUACAAAUGGGAUAUGAGAUCAGAAAUACCAAACACGUGAAAGCUGCACACAUCCUAAACUUGACCAGAUAAAUAUUCUGCUGGAAAUCUUUGCAAAAGUAUAACACUAUUAAAUGAAGGGUCAAGGAACAUGCACGAGACUAAUGCCAAGUAUUGAUUUGACAGAAUGAAACCUUGCGGAGCUGUUAACUUAAGUGUAAUUUUCGUCAAGAGCAACAAUUAUUCUGUGCAACAGAGAUCUUCUGAGCUAUUAACAAAGCUACUGGAGAAAUGUCAACAGUGGUCAGCUGCCAGUUACUUUUACAAAUAAGAUUUUACUUGACACGAUAAGCCUGAAGAUACUUAAGACAACUGCUGGCUUCUCAGAAGAGGGAGACACUGGGAUGCAAAUACUGAAAUAAGGCGCUGAGUUGAGAGACCUCCAAUCCUGAAGCUUUGGAAAAACUUGGAAUGGCUUAAUUAGCCACUGAUUAACCUUUGGUUAGAAAUAUCAUCUUAAAAAAUAUUUGAAUUUACUGGCUUGAUGAAAACUUUUGCACACUGAUUUUCGUCUCUUAUUGCAGAACUAAUACCCAGAUGGUUUCUCCAGAUAUUUUUCUUCUAAAAUGUCCACUGAUUGUUAUGUUCAGGAUAAUUCUGCAAGAGAGCAGAAUCCUAAACAGUUCAAAUCCCCAUCCCAACCCUACACUUGUAUUGACAAUUACUUUAGGGGGCCAGCCCCAUGGCCCAGUGGUUAAGUUCAUGAGCUCUGCUGUGGUGGCCCAGGGUUUCGCCGGUUCGAAUCCUGGGUGCGGACAUGGCACUGCUCGUCAGGCCGCGUUGAGGCGGCGUCCCACAUGCCACAACUAGAAGGACCUGCAACUAAGAUAUACAACUAUGUACUGGGGGGAUUUGGGGGGAUAAAGCAGGAAAAAAAAAAUGGGAAAAAAAAAGAAAAUUAUUUUAGAGUGGUGUGAAGAGAGGAUGAGGGAAAAGGAAACAGGUGAUUUGAAAGAUAACUUUGGAAAAGUUUGUAAGCCUGAAUGACUACGUGUGGGAGGGGAGGGGGGUGUUGUUACACUGGACAUAGAUAUCAGAGCACAAUUUACAACACCCUGGGCUGAUAAUCUGAAGGCCUGAAUUCUAAUCUUUACCCUUCACUGAUUUCCUGAUUGACCUCAGGCAAGUCACUUCAAGCCACGGCAUGGUGGUUACCAGGGCCUCUCUCUGCUCAGCCGUGUUGACUUGAAUCCUUUCUCCACCACGUAAUAGCUGUGUAACUUUGGGCAAGUUGCCUAACCUUCUCACACCUCUAUAUUCUCAUCUGUAAAACGUGGAUAAUAAUAGCUUCUGGUUCAUAGGCCUGUGAUGAGGGGCAAAGGAGAUAACAGUGUAAAACGUUGUUUGGGCCAUCCAUAAAUAAGUCCUCCAUAAAUACUAGCUAUUGUCAUUACCUCUGAGUCACAGUUUCCUCAUGUAGAACAGGAGAGGGUCGGAGUAGAUGACCUAAUGAAUUCUUUCAGCCAGCCUUCAGGAAAACCAUCAUACAGAAUGCAGCUAAUAACCCAACCUCUCAAAAUCUCUGUAGCCACAAGGAGCCCUCCCCAGAUCUUAUUUACCACACCUCACCCAUCAUGCUGCCUGUUGGUCACACAGGCCUUACUGAUUCCUAUUUUACACGCAGUUCUAACGACCACGUUGAUCUGAUAUCUCAGACUACAGAAGCCCAAAUUAGUAAGAAGAAUGUUGAAAGAAAAACACCUUGUAAGCAAGGGUGGUUGCAAGCAGUCUGAUGUUAAGAGAGGAAACAAUUGCGAUCACAGAAGGAAGUACGUGCGCCACCAUGACUCAAGUCAUUAAACAUUUUUGAACCACAUUCAGUAAAAUGCUCAAGGCAGCUACCAAUUUUAGAGCUGUUUCUAUCAAAAUGAUUAGCAUUUGAUAGGUGUGGGAAUUAUUAGUUUCGGGAUAAUUCUUCUUAUGGUCAGAAUGUGCCUGGUUAUUGGUUAAGCCCCAGAUUUGCUGGCCCUCUUUCUUCUCUCCUGGUUCAGCAUCUCUAGCAUCAGGAUGCAGGUGGUAGGCCAGUCCAGAACUGUCUUGUCUCCCAGUGGGGCGGUGGAUAUAGGGUGAGAGGGAGUAUUGGGCCAGUUACUCAGCACCGGCAAUGACAAAGCCAUCCUGCCUAAGCCUGCCUUCAAGCUCCUGCCACAUUUGCUUUCAUAUCUUAACAAAGUGACUCCUUCCCUUGGCUCUCCCAUGCCCUGACUCCUUUUCCGACCUAGAAGGUAACAGGUUCAGGAAUUAGGACUCAUGCUGACCUCAAAUAAGGUUUAAAUCCUGCCUCUGCCACUUGCCAGCUAUGCGACUUUGGUCAAACAUUUUCACUUUUCUGCACGUCUUUGUUGCAGCCGUAAAAUGUGAACAAUGAUGCCUUACUUCCCAGGGCUGUUGAAGAGAGGAAGGGAGACCGCGGAGGGAAAGCAUGGUGCCUGGUACAGAAGGAGUUCAAGAUGUAUUAGCUGUUCCUGAUGCCCAUUUUAAUUGCAUCUAGGAUUUUAAUGCCAGCCCUGGUGGUCUAGUGGUUAAGAUUCAGAGCCAUGGCCCAGGUCUGUUUCCCAGUCAGGGAACCAUACCGCCUGUCUGUCGGUUGUCACACUGUGGUGACUGCAUGUUGCUGGGAUGUUGAAAGCUCUGCCACCAUGAUUUCACAAACACUAUCAGGGUCACUCAUGGUGGACAGGUUUCAAUGGAGCUUCCAGACUAGACAGACUAGGAAGAAGGACCUGGCCAACUUCCUAAAACAUUGGCCAUGAAAACCCUAUGAGUAGCAACAGAGCAUUGUCUGAUAGAGCAACAGAAGGUGAGAGGACGGUAUAAAAAGACCAAGCAGGGUUCAGCUCUGUGGUCCACAGGGUCACUAGGAGUUGGAAUCCACUUGACAGCAUUAACAACAACAACAAAGUUAUAGUCACAAGCUUGUUUAUGUAACUCAAAUCAAAAAUCUUUGUAUUGCCUUGUAUUAUAUGACCUAGAUCUGUUAAAAGAAAAAACUAGGGUAAUGUUUUAAAGGGACAAUGCCCAAAUUGGCUACUCUCAGCUUUUAUUUUCACCUUAUGGUGGCAUAGAAUGAAGUCCAUCCUUCUUAGGAAUCCACGCGUUCCAGAAAUGGAAAUUACCUCUUCCAUGGAAUCAGAAGGAUUGGCCAUUCAUACCUAUGGAUGCCUCUUUGACUCAGUUUACUUGCAAAAUAUCACCCGACUCAGUUUCAUCAAGUGAUAGUGAAAACUUUGUCUAGCUGGGAUGUGCUCUCCUUUUGAAAAGGUGCUACCAACCACAGAGAUCCUAGGGGCCCAUGGAAUGAAUGUGUUUCCUGAUGCCUGUCUCAGAGCCUAUGCUAGUGCAGAUAAGGCAUUUUCUUUUUCACUGCUCAGAACUCAUUCAUCAGGAUUAGAAGUUUUUGGCACAUCUUGAAUGUUACAUAAUCAUAUGACAGUACAGAGGCUUUUAGCUUCUUGUCACUGUUCAUGCUAAGCCAUCCUCAAUGUUAUAAUAUCAUUGAUAUCUCCAAGAGAUAACUCAAAGGUGUCUACUGGCUAUAUAAUUUGUCAGGCAUUAAUAGAGACUGGAGCUAUCAGGAAACAUACAGUAUUUUUUGUAAUCUUUUCCUGAUAGUGGUUUUGAUAAGAUUUAAACGCAGCCUCAGAUUUAACUUCCUUAAAUACUCAUGCUUGUUUGUUUGUUCGUUUGAAAAGCGUGACUUAAAAUGCCAGAUGUGCUAACCUUCUGUAACUAUAUGCCAAAGACUUGCUAAGCUUUCUGACUUCAUGGUCAGCUUUUAAUGUUUGCUUUCUCUUGUUCGAAAAAGUUUCUGUUUUCCAUGUAUUAGUCCUUGAUCCCAGUAAAUGUCACAAGAGCUAAGCUCAAGGAAAUUCUCAGGAAAGUCCCAAGAAAAGUCUGAGGGUGUGCCUCCAUUAACAGAUAAAACCUUUCCAAAGAUCCUCAGUAAGUUGCUUUUUGCAAACCUUAGCGAUUUAACAGAAAAUAAUACACGACUUCUGCAUUAAACUUUGGUACUGAAAUGCAAUAGACCUCUGCCAGAGCCUGAAGGUUUUCUCAAACUGUGAUUAGGAAAAUGAACAAAAGUGAUCAAUUUGACCAACUUAAUCAGGGCAGCGGAAUUUCAGAAAUCAUUCACUGAAUUAAUCAUCUAAUUUUUAAACUAAACCAAUAAAAUAAUUCCCAAAAACCCCACAACUUUACAGACUUACAUUGAUAUUUCAAUGCUCUCCAACACCCGGCCCACUUGACCUUCACAGGAUUUUCAAUGUGACAUUAUUGCAUACACCAUCUAUUCCAGCCAACCUGCUCUACUGACUGCCAGGCACAUCUUCACCUUCCCUUCUCGUUGCCUUGCUCUGUCCUGUGCCCUGGCCUGAGGUGCUUUCGUUUUUCCCUCUGUUCAUCUCCUAAGCUAUAUCUAAGUCAUGCUCCGUCCAUGAAGUUUUUGAAAAUGACUUCCUCUUUGGACCCUGAUAGUACUGAUCAUCCAUUCCACACGUUGUAAGACCUCUUGGACUAUGGCUAUCACUUUGUAUUGCCACUACUAUUCUUUAAUUGACUAGGCAUUUCUAUUUUAUAUGCCUCGGUAUAGAUUUUCAGCGCCCAGAGAUGUUGUAUAUUUGUAUUUAUGGCUGUCCAGUGCCUUACAAAAUGCCUUGCCUGUUGCCGAUGUCAAUUAUACUAGCUAAUCUAAAUAGUUUAACCAAUCUAGUGACAUCAUUUAAUCUGAUUACAAAGAUAGAGCAAGGGACUGUUAGGGAAUGGCUGUAAAACUUGUAAUCAUAUUGUUGGCCCAGACACCUGAAAUAGAUUUCCAGAUCUGCCACCUGUCUUGAACAAGUCAUUUCAUCUCUCUUACCUUCAAAUUUUCCAAUCUGUAAAAGUGAAAGAAUAAUAAUGACUCUCGGGGCCGGCCUGGUGGUGCAGCGGUUAAGUGCGCACAUUUCGCUUCAGCGGCCUGGAGUUCACCAGUUCAGAUCCCCGGUGUGAACAUGGCACUGCUCAUCAAGCCCCGCUCAUCAAGCAAUGCUGUGACAGGCAUCCCACAUAUAAAGUAGAGGAAGAUGGGCACAGAUGUUAGGUCAGGGCCAGUCUUCCUCAGCAAAAAAGAGGAGGAUUGGCAGCAGAUGUUAGCUCAGGGCUGAUCUUCCUCAAAAAUAAUAAUUAAUAAUAAUAAUAAUAACGACUUUCUUUCCUAUUUCACUAGAUUACUGUGAGAUUCAAAGGAUGCAGUGUCUUUGAAAAUGUUUGCACAAAGUUAAGUACCUUACAAAUAAGAAUGUCCACUGUUAGGCAAAAGAAACACUACUUUUAGAAAUCCCAUACCAAAUAUAGCAAAGGGCUCCUAAAAUGAUCAAGACUGGUGUUAGUUUUAAGGUAUAUUGCGAUCAAUUUCAAAUAGUGCUCUAGGUCAGAUUGUUCAUCUCACUUUACAGAUGAAAGGAUGAAACUAAUGACUGAGUAAAAUUAAUGACAGCACUAAAAUGAUAUGCCUUCAUUGUUCUAGCUAUUAGCUUUGAGCCUAAGGAGCACUAUUACUUCUUUCUAAAUUUUUCUUCAAGUACCACUGAAGUUCUGAUUCUUAGGGAUUAAGAAAAAGCAACACGUUGAAAAUGUCAGUCUCUCCUCCCUGUAGUUGCUGGGCACCCUACAUUAGCAUAAAUAGCAUCUGUGCAUCCAUAAUUUGGUUCCAUGUCUCUUUAAAUUCUUCCUGUAUUCUUCUAGUAGUCCGCAUAAAUUUCACUCAAUCAUUAGCUUCAACCUUUCAUCUGCUCUGGUCAGUCCUUAAUCUACAUUCCUCCUCAAUGUAUUUAUUAAAUGAACAAUGUAUCAUUUUCACCUUUUGGAGUAUUGUAGAUAAGUACUGUGAGGUUGAAGCAUGGGCAUAUAGUGUCUUCCACAUCAACUUUGAACUCCUUUGGGUGAGUCAGCACUGCUCUUCUUAAAUCCUUAAGUACCCUUGACCUCGUACAUUCACUAGAGUCAAAUGAUGCUCAUUAAAGGCCGUUUAGGAUGUGCCAUCAUCCCUUCCAGUGUUCACAUCCCAAGUUCCUGUGAAUCAUGGUUCAUCGUGAAUCUUUCUCCCUUCAAAUAACACUGACUGAAUGUUCAUCAUAUUCCCAUGUAGCAAGAAGCCAGAAUGUUUAUUGACAGGAAGAAGGAGUAGAAUGUGCCCUACUGGGAGCCAAUCAGGACUUUAAGACCAAAGAUGUGCUUUCUUUCCAACCUAGGGCUCCUUCUUUGAUGUUGGACAAGUCAUUUUCAACACUUUAGUUAUUUUUGCGUUAGAGGAAGGACUUGUAAGAUUUCUACUAGCUCUACACAAGGGUAUAUUACAAAAAGAAUAACCACCAAAACAAAUGACUGAUCUGCCAGGUCAUCUACGAGAGGAUAAAAAGGAUAUCCAAAUAGGAUCAAAAGAAUAGAGCUAGAGCACCAAAUAUUUUAGUUUUACAUUCAUACAGCCUGUGCCCUUAGCGUGAAUUUUCUGAGGUCAUAUCCUUCCAAUGCUUCCUACCUAGAAGAAAUUUGAACGGCAUUCACCCAACUGGCAUAGUCUUCCAGAAGGAGGAAGGACCGAAAAUCAAAUAGAAAACAAAUAUUCAAGCAAGCAUGAAGCCUUUCCAAGAACGUAUACCAUAUCAAUCUCCAUUGUCCUCUUUGUUUAUUUUUGGAUUAAAAUUCAUAUUUAAUUAAUUUUUUAAAACUAUUCUAUACAAAAUGUCUGGUAACUGAGCUAACCAUAGAUAUGGGAAAAAGGUAAUAAGCAGAUAAGACAGUCAACCGAGAAAGAAAAAUCUGUAAAGUUAACUCCAUUUUCUUUUGAUUUUAUGCAGACAGUCACUGCCCUAGUCACAAUAUCAGAUUGUGGGAUUUGUAUUCCAAAUGUUCUUUUGUUCCAAAUAGCUAUCUACAUUAACAUCAGAAUUAUCACUGCCACAAAGAGAUUUUUUUAUCUUGCUUUAGUAAUAAUUUUUCAGUAAUAAUGCAGCUGGUAAAAAUGUGUGUGUGUGUAUAUAUAUAUAUAUGAGCAUAAAUAUAAUUUGGGGAAAGAACUAUUAAAGAUACAUUUUUUUAAUUACAAGCUGAAGUAGUUACAAAUUCUAAAAAUUUCUAGAACCUUACCAGUCCUAAAUUACUUUGAGCUCCCUUAUUUUCAUAUAUUUAUAUGUAACAAUGUCAUUAUCUUUUCAUUUUUAAUCUACAUAAUAUUCACUUAUUCUGUAAUAUCGUAGUUAACU
ensembl:lncRNA